GUGGACGACACCCGAGUAAUUGCCGCCGAUCGCACGGCCUAGAGCCGGCGACGCCUCUAUUGAGUUUCUGAUCUAUCAUGCUGACGACGGUUGGUGCUAUGCCAACCGCGGCGUUAACGGAUAACAGAGAAUCUGGGUUCGAUUCUGGAGAGGCCGCAUGAGAAACGGCGACCACUUCCAAGGAAGGCAGCAGGCACGCAAAUUACCCACUUCGGACACCGAGAGGUAGUGACGAAUAAUACCGAUGCGGCGCACUUACGUGUCGCCGUAAUCGGAAUGAGUACACUUGAAAUCCUUUAACGAGGAUCCACUGGAGGGCAAGCCUGGUGCCAGCAGCCGCGGUAAUUCCAGCUCCAGCAGCGUAUAUUUAUAUUGCUGCGUUUAAAAAGCUCGUAGUUGAAGCGUCAGACACGGGAGGGCGGACGGCCGCACUGGUCGCUCUCGCCCGACCGGGCCAGGCGCAGAGGGUGUCCGUCGCUUGCACUUCGCCGUGUGAGCGCGGCGCCGCUGCACGUUCACCUUGAAGAAAUUGAACCGCUCAGAGGAGGCGUGCAGCUCGAACAGCUCAGCAUGGUAUGAUGGAACAUGGGCUCGUACACGUUUUGUUGGUUCUAGUGUUGGCGAGCCAAUGAUUAAGAGGGACUGCCGGGGGCAUUAGUACUCGCACGGGAGAGGUGAAAUUCAAGGAUCGUGCGAAGACUUCCUACUGCGAAAGCAUUUGCCAAGAAUGUUUUCAUUAAUCAAGAACGAAAGUCAGAGGUGCGAAGGCGAUCAGAUACCGCCGUAGUUCUGACCGUAAACGAUGCCGACUGGCAAUUGGGCGCACUUCUGACGAAGUUGCCGCCAGCAGUAUUACUCCUGGGAAACCAAAGUCAUUGGGUUCCGGGGGGAGUAUGGUUGCAA
rnacentral:rRNA from 1 species